AAAGAAGUUUGGACGUCAAAUCCCAAGGCUCAACCCUGGACAGACGGUGGAAACUACCAAGCUAGAGUACAGUAGGGGCAGAGGGAAUUUCUGGUGGAGCAGUGAAAUGCGUAGAGAUCAGAAAGAACACCAACGGCGAAAGCACUCUGCUGGGCCGACACUGACACUGAG
rfam:Gossypium hirsutum cultivar TM-1 chromosome 13, whole genome shotgun sequence